UACGAAGGGGGCUAGCGUUGUUCGGAGUUACUGGGCGUAAAGGGCGCGUAGGCGGCGCACCAAGUCAGGCGUGAAAGCCCUGGGCUCAACCCGGGAAUUGCGCUUGAGACUGGUGUGCUUGAGUACGGGAGAGGAUAGUGGAAUUCCCAGUGUAGAGGUGAAAUUCGUAGAUAUUGGGAAGAACACCGGUGGCGAAGGCGGCCAACUGGACGAAUACUGACGCUGAGACACGAAAGCGUGGGGAGCAAACAGG
rnacentral:rRNA from 1 species